rnacentral:rRNA from 1 species
GCCUGUACUGCAAGUCGAACGCGCAGCGAAAGGUGCUUGCACCUUUCAAGCGAGUGGCGAACGGGUGAGUAACACGUGGAUAACCUGCCUCAAGGCUGGGGAUAACAUUUGGAAACAGAUGCUAAUACCGAAUAAAACUUAGUAUCGCAUGAUACAAAGUUGAAAGGCGCUACGGCGUCACCUAGAGAUGGGUCCGCGGUGCAUUAGUUAGUUGGUGGGGUAAAGGCCUACCAAGACAAUGAUGCAUAGCCGAGUUGAGAGACUGAUCGGCCACAUUGGGACUGAGACACGGCCCAAACUCCUACGGGAGGCUGCAGUAGGGAAUCUUCCACAAUGGGCGAAAGCCUGAUGGAGCAACGCCGCGUGUGUGAUGAAGGCUUUAGGGUCGUAAAGCACUGUUGUAUGGGAAGAAAUGCUAGAAUAGGGAAUGAUUCUAGUUCGACGGUACCAUACCAGAAAGGGACGGCUAAAUACGUGCCAGCAGCCGCGGUAAUACGUAUGUCCCGAGCGUUAUCCGGAUUUAUUGGGCGUAAAGCGAGCGCAGACGGUUGAUUAAGUCUGAUGUGAAAGCCCGGAGCUCAACUCCGGAAUGGCAUUGGAAACUGGUUAACUUGAGUGUUGUAGAGGUAAGUGGAACUCCAUGUGUAGCGGUGGAAUGCGUAGAUAUAUGGAAGAACACCAGUGGCGAAGGCGGCUUACUGGACAACAACUGACGUUGAGGCUCGAAAGUGUGGGUAGCAAACAGGAUUAGAUACCCUGGUAGUCCACACCGUAAACGAUGAAUACUAGGUGUUAGGAGGUUUCCGCCUCUUAGUGCCGAAGCUAACGCAUUAAGUAUUCCGCCUGGGGAGUACGACCGCAAGGUUGAAACUCAAAGGAAUUGACGGGGACCCGCACAAGCGGUGGAGCAUGUGGUUUAAUUCGAAGCAACGCGAAGAACCUUACCAGGUCUUGACAUCCUUUGAAGCUUCUAGAGAUAGAAGUGUUCUCUUCGGAGACAAAGUGACAGGUGGUGCAUGGUCGUCGUCAGCUCGUGUCGUGAGAUGUUGGGUUAAGUCCCGCAACGAGCGCAACCCUUAUUGUUAGUUGCCAGCAUUCAGUUGGGC